AAAAUAGGGGAAUAAUCAGAGGGAGGAAAGUCCCCUCCUCCUCCUUCUUCUUACUCGUCCUCAAGCCCGGUGGCGUUUUUAUUUAUUACAGACGAGCGCGGUGGCACACGGGAUGUAUUUGCUGCGACUGCUGUGUUGAGUUUCGACUUUCCACAUCUCGUUCGCCAUGGGGCUGAGUAACAGCUCGCAAGGCCGCGUGGGCCACGACCUCAGGUCCCAUGCCAUGCCCAUCGCCCUGCCCAUGCCCGAGCCCGGCGAGUUAGAAGACAAAUUCUCGCAAGUCCUGAGCUCGAUGAAUUUGCCGCCUGACAAGGCGCGACUCCUGCGUCAGUACGAUGACGAGAAGAAGUGGGAGCUGAUCCGCGACAAGGAGAAAGUCCAAGUGAAAAACCCUCCGCACAUCUACAUCGAGAAAUUGCGCAGCUACUACAGCGACCCGGAGAUCGACAACAAAAAAUUCAGGCGGAGGGUGAACGAGUCCACGCAGGUUUUACGCGAGCUCGAGAUAUCGCUCAGAACCAACUACAUUGGAUGGGUGCGAGAGUUCCUGAACGAAGAGAACAAUGGGCUGGAGGUGCUGAUGGAGUACCUGGCGUUUGCGCAGUACGCCGUCACGUGCGACGUCGAGGGGGAUGAGAACGUGGCUCUGCUCUCGAGGAACGGGCUGGCGUCGCCGAAAGAGCUCCGCCGGUCGCUCAAGCAGAGGGGCUCCCUGCCCGGCAGGCAGCGAUCUUCCUCCAGCGCGUCCAGCACAUUGGCAGCAGCGCGGUCGUCACGAGCCGCGAGCCUUAGCAACAUUCGCUACAAGACUCUGCGAAACUCGUGGCUCGUGAGCCAAAAGGACGACGUCCACCUGUGCAUCAUGUGUCUCCGCGCCAUCAUGAACUACCAGUACGGCUUCGAGAAGGUGCUGUCACACCCGCAGUGUGUCAACGAGAUUGCACUCAGCUUAAACAACAAAAAUCAAAGGACGAGGACGCUGGUGCUGGAGCUGCUUGCCGCCGUGUGCCUGGUGAGGGGCGAGGGCCACGAGACCACUCUUGCCGCCUUCGACAACUUCAAGGAGGUCUGCAAGGAACGGCAUCGGUUUGAGCGACUGUUGACUUAUUUCAAAGAUGACGAAUCCAGCAUGGACUUUAUGGUGGCCUGCAUGCAGUUCAUCAACAUUGUGGUGCACUCGGUAGAACACAUGAACUACAGGGUUCACCUGCAGUACGAGUUCACGAAACUGGGCAUGGACGAAUACCUGGAGAAAUUGAAGAAGACCGAGAGCGAGAAGCUGCAGGUGCAGAUCCAGGCGUACCUGGACAAUGUGUUCGACGUGGCCGUGCUCGUGGACGACGCCGAAACGAAGAAUGCGGCGGUGGAGCGUGUGCAGCAGCUCAACGAGCAAGUGUCGCACCUUCAAGAAAACUUGCAGGAACAGGAGGAUGCGGCAGUCUCGAGGAUUGUGGAGCUGGAGAAGAAACUGCUGAAUUACUGCAAGGAAGUUGAAAAGCUCCAGGUCUCCUUGAAGGAGGAGCGGGGUCAGGUGUCCACCUUGCGCCACUCCGUCAAAGAGAAGGACCUGGCCCUGCGCCGACAGUCGGAGCUGGAGAAGAGGCUGGAGGAGAUGGAGGCUCAUCGCUCCAGCAUGGUGCUGUCCCAGGAUGGGCUGCCAUCCUCCCUGCUCGCUCUCCCCAGCGCUGACACUGCCUCAACCCCUGCCUCCGAUCGAGCAUCGGAAGCGCCGACACCACUGCUGGUCUCAGGCCCACCUGCUCCCCCACCACCGCCGCCGCCACCACCACCUCCCCCGGGGGUCUCCCAGGAUCUCCCGCCGCCCCCUCCUCCUCCGCCACCCGGCAUGGGAAAGGCUUUUCAACUGUCCAAGGGGGCGCCUCGCCACGGAGCGUUCAACAGUCCCACUGUGCCAGGAGGCAUGCGCAUCAAGAAAGCCAUCCCCACCAAGUACCGUCUGCCUGUGUUCAACUGGACGGCGCUAAAGCCCUCCCAGGUUAACGGCACCGUCUUCACAGACAUGGAUGACGAGGAGCUGUUGCAGGUUCUGGAUAUGGACUCGUUCGAGGAGCUCUUCAAGACGAAGGCGCAGGGCCCGGUGGCGACAAUCCAGGUGGACGGGCCACGGUGCGACGCCGCCCAGCCGAAGGUGGCGCCCAAGGUGUCGCUCCUGGACGCGAACCGCGCCCGCAACCUGGCCAUUACGCUGCGCAAGACGUCACGCUCGCACGGGGAGAUCUGCAAAGCCGUGCAGACGUACGACCUGCAGAAGCUGCCGGUGGAGCGGCUCGAGUGCCUGCAGCGCUUUGUGCCCACCGAGUCGGAGGCGUUGCUCCUGCGCCAGUACGAGCGUGACCUGCGUUCCCCCGAGGACCUGGCGGAGGAGGAGCGCUUCAUGCUGCAGUUUGGCCGCGUCGAGCGUCUGUCCCAGCGCAUCACCGUCAUGCUCUUCAUGGGCAACUUCAUGGACACGGUGUCACGCCUCACUCCGUUUGUGAAUGCGAUAAUAGCAGCGUCGCUGUCUAUAAAGUCCUCUCAGAAGUUCAAAAAGAUCCUGGAGCUUGUCCUGGCGUUUGGAAACUACAUGAACAGCAGCAAGAGGGGGGUGGCAUACGGGUUCAAGCUGCAGAGUCUGGACCUCCUCGGGGACACCAAGUCGACGGACAGGAAGUUGACGCUGCUGCACUACCUGGCCGACGUGGUGCACGCCAAGUUCCCCGAGGUGGCCUCCUUCUACUGCGACCUCUGCUUCCUUGACAAGGCCGCAGCAGUGUCGAUGGACAGCGUGAUGCAGGACGUGCGUGAGCUGCAGCGCGGCAUGGAGACCACCAAGCGCGAGGCUGCCCUGCACGAGUCCAACGUUGGCCUGCGCCGCUUCAUUGAGGCCAACGAUGACACGCUGAGCCGCCUCGUCGGCGAUGCCAACACCGCCAAGGAUGCCUUUCAGGUGGCCGUGGAAUACUUUGGCGAAACUCCCAAGACGAUGCCUCCUUCCAACUUCUUCCCGGUGUUCUCCCGAUUUGUGAAUGCGUUCAAGAAAGCGGAAAAGGAGAAUGAGUCGAGACGCUUGCAGGAGGAGAAAAAACAGAUGCUGGAGGAGGCAGCCAAGGAGGAGAAAAAUAUGUCGGCAAACGACAAGGGUAAGCGUCAGCAGAUGAAUCUCAUCGCCGAGCUGACCAAGAAGCAGGGCAACAAGCGCACGAUGUACGAGGGCAAGGAUGGCGCCAUUGACUCCAUCAUCACAGCUGCUGUGGUUCCGCUCCACGGCCGCCUGGCUCCUGUCCGUGCGCGCGGGGCCUGAUGUUGGGGCGAAGCGUUCUCAAAAACCCCUUCCGGCACAGCUCGCUUCUUCUUCUGAUUCUUCUACUUCCCUAUCACCACUUUCCUGACCAGACCUGAGGAAGCAGCCGUUCCGCCGCACUGUGCGUAAGAAGAGCGAGGAAGCCACCAGCCCCACGGCCUACUCCACUGAUGUGUGAAGCCCGCGCGCUGCUGCCACCGCUGCCACCACCGCUGCGCUUCCUUACCACGACCAGACUCGUUGUUGUACGUCGUCUGUGCCCUCUACAAUUUACGGACCUCCCCACUUGAAGCCCUUCUGCGACAAGCAAACGUGAACUAUUCAAACGAAUCCGUAAUUUGACCACUGUGCUCCUGAGCCAUCGACUGGGCCCGCAGAGUUGUGCAGUAAGCGCGGUUGGCUGCCAUCAGCCAGAGUCGUCUGGAUGGUGUCCCGUGGUCCAACUAUUGCACUCCAGGUUGGAUAAAGCAUGUCCGUGGGGGGCACUUCCAGUAAUUCGGGAAGCACAAUACAAAUUCAUCGUUUAAAGUUGUGGGCAGAAAUCCGCUUGGCUCAUCAUCUCUCCAGGUUCUGUAAAUGUAUGGCCACUUUUGGAUGUGAUUGUGGAAUUUUAUCCACCGGCUCAGGAUGGACAAUGGAGAUUAGUACCAACGCAAUGCUCGUUUGAGAGCAUUUUGGAGAAAUUGGCCAAAGAUAAACGUGGGCGCUUGUUUCUGUAAGGCUCAGCUUGUUUGAGAUCGGCCACAGUAGGACGUCAACUUUUUCAUGACAAAUUUUAUAGCACGAGUCCGUAUAAAUUGUCAUGGCGAGGUAUUUAAAGGGGCUUUUAUGAACAUGCAACUCGAGUGCAAAAAGGCUUACCUGGUAAAAUACCCAAGCAAUAUUCCUGCUGUCACUCAGUAGAGUAUAUUUUUUUAGAUUAAAACAGUGCACCUGAAUUUUUCCCAUUGAAUGAAUGAACAACUUUGGUUUCAUAUUGCACCUUGAACAGUUAAUAUAUUUGGCAGCUCUUUUUCAAUACAGGAUGGUCUUCACACUAAAUUGACUUUCGCCUUUGGAAUGCCUGUGCAUUCAUUCGUUGACCUGUAAUAGGUGACAUUGCAAUCGUCUGGUCUCAGCGCUAAAAUUAGAAUGCAUCUUAACAAAUUAAUCUUUUAGUUUCAUAGCAGCAAAUUAAAAGUUCGGCAUGAAGGCAAUGUGAAUUCCUAAUAGUCCAAUAUGCUGUAUUUAUGUGCUUGAUGUGCAAGCUUUGGUCCAUGUGAAUUGCAUAAAACAACGGCCCAUUUAGUUAAAAAGGUUAUUGUCUAAUGCUGCACUUUUCAUGGUUAACUGUAUUUUGUAUAUUUUUGGUGAUGCGUAUUUUGUUAUAUAUAAUGCUGCCAUUUUAAAGUGUUUAUAUUAUGACUUAAAAAAUAUUGGAUUUUAUUUUUGUCAAUUGUUUUAGUUUUGGCUUUACAGUGUAUAUUUUUUUUACAGAACAAUUGUCCAUACCACACGAGUGCCUUAUGUCUUGCGUUUUCAAUAGCUUUAUGAAAGAUGAAAAUUGCACUAUAUAUUAAUUGACGUUUAACAAACUCUUGUCCUCGAAGACCUCACAGGGCAGCGUUGACUCGCAUAUUAAUGAUAAGGGUCCCUCAUUAGUCUCCACUACCAACCAUCGUACUAUCGACGUGUCCUGCGCAAGCCCCCACUUGUCUUGACAGUCAAUAUGGUUUGCCCACCAUGCACAAUUCACUAACAAUAACGGAGUUGCAACCGACGCGGAGGGUACCAGAGAUGGAGCGAUGUAAUCAGCUCGUGCUAGAUGUGGUACAACAGUUUCACAUGUCAUGCUUAGCUGUGGGGAGUGGUAGCGGAGCGCGCCAACUACGAACCCGGCGACCCGAGUUCGAUUCCCGCUUACGGCCACCAACACCAGCCACGAUUAUCUGAACCGGUCCUGGCCCUCGUCUAAGUCGACUCAGCCUCAAAUGAGUAUCUGGUGUGGUGUGUAAAGAUCACCACUAGGGAGACAAAGGUGGCCGGGCGUUGUGCUGGCCACCCACCCCCUCGUGUGCUGUGCCGGCCUUCAUAGGUGGUCACGAACAGCACUUGUCUCUAAAAUGUUUUGGCUAUAUGGGGGAUCUUGUCUUUGUCACAACAAUGGCCUGGGUGAGGCCUUUAUCCAGCAGUGAAUUGAUUAUGGAGGGUGAUGAUGAUGGAGAAGAUCAGGAGUUGGGAAGGCUGCAUCGUGGUGGGCCCGCGAGGACUGGAGUUUGAGAAACUCGGCUAUCGACCAUAGAAAGCUUAAACGCCUCGUAGAAACGAACUCAAAUGGCCAAAUCAGAAAUAUUCAGAUACGUAAUAAACAUUCAUUUUUCAA